GGUUUAGUGGUGUAGCGGCUAUCACGUUUCGUUUACAAUCCGAAAAGGCCCCGAGUUCGAUCCUCGGCUAGAUCA